rnacentral:rRNA from 1 species
UACGAAGGGGGCUAGCGUUGCUCGGAAUCACUGGGCGUAAAGCGCACGUAGGCGGAUUGCUAAGUCAGGGGUGAAAUCCUGGAGCUCAACUCCAGAACUGCCUUUGAUACUGGCGAUCUUGAGUCCGGGAGAGGUGAGUGGAACUGCGAGUGUAGAGGUGAAAUUCGUAGAUAUUAGGAAGAACACCGGUGGCGAAGGCGGCCAUCUAGCUCGGUACUGACGCUCAGGCGCGAAAGCGUGGGGAGCAAACAGG